rnacentral:lncRNA from 1 species
AGAAGAAAGGGAAAGAACUGGAACAGGUCAGCAAGUCCCAUGCUAAUGGGACUCAUGUCAAGCUGGGUCAAGUUGGGGUGUAGAUCUCUCAUUGAGAGCUAAAGCAUGGCGCUAAAAUAAGGGAAAGCAGAGACAUAGAAAACAAUCAAAUCUGAAGAAACCAGAGGAUGGAGAUGGAGGCUGUAGAACAAGGUGGGAAUGGAAGCUGGUGGAGAACAAUAAGAACACACCCUUCAAAGUGCUAAUGCUGUUCCAGCUCAGCAGACACCUCGUCUCGGGAAAGCCAUUAGAAACCCCCAAAAUACUACAUUUUUCUCCUGGAAUGAAGCAUCCACACAGUCCAUCCAAGCAUACUGUGAAUCAAAACACAUGUCAUAGCUGGAACGAAAGCAUUAGGACCAUCUAACUGGAUUCCACUGGAAUGAGUCUCUGUGAAACCAUGCCGAAGUCUUUGUAAACAACCACCCUAAAGAAAGCUACAUGAAGAAUAGCCAAUAACAAAAGCACUGGAUUUAACUCAAUUUUGUGAAAAAACAAAAAAAACAAAUAUGAUGCACACACUCUAUCCUUUUGUGAACAAAAUGCCACCAAACAUUUGAAACUGGCCUAAGCAUACAUUGACAUGUUUGACAUGAAGCCCAGCCUUAUUGAUCAGCCUUUCCAAUACCCCCCGCCCCCCAUUCUUUAUUCCCAAUAGAUACAUCUUCUCACAGGUAAUUGGGCAGAAAAAUGCUUAUUGACUGAUCUUGAAAACUUCAAUGCAUCUAAAGCUGGAGAACAUUCAAAAACCAUGCUUCUCUUUAUUUAUUUCAGUUUCCAUGGCAAGAGGAAAAUAAAAGGCAACUGUUUUGAAAGCAACAACAG